UGACAUUUCGGGAAACUCCCGGGCCCCCUUUUGGAUUCCGGGCCCAGGUACGAUGUACCCCCUGCACCAUCCUCUCAUAGGCCCUGU